rnacentral:rRNA from 1 species
CCUACGGGUGGCAGCAGUAGGGAAUUUUGCGCAAUGGGCGAAAGCCUGACGCAGCAACGCCGCGUGAUUGAUUAAGCCCUUCGGGGUGUAAAGAUCUGUCAGUGGGGACGAAACUUGACGGUACCCACAGAGGAAGCACCGGCUAACUCCGUGCCAGCAGCCGCGGUAAUACGGAGGGUGCAAGCGUUGUCCGGAAUCAUUGGGCGUAAAGAGUUCGUAGGUGGCAUAUUAAGUCUGGUGUUAAAUGCAGAAGCUCAAUUUCUGUUCGGCACUGGAUACUGGUAAGCUUGAAUGCGGUAGAGGUAAAGGGAAUUCCUGGUGUAGCGGUGAAAUGCUUAGAGAUCAUACAGAACACCGAUUGCGAAGGCAGCUUACCAAGCUACUUCUGACGUUGAGGCACGAAAGCGUGGGGAGCAAACAGGAUUAGAUACCCGUGUAGUC